rnacentral:tRNA from 1 species
UAAUAAGAAGCAAUGUAUGCGUCCAGUUUCGGCCUGGAAAUUUGAUAAUUUUAUCCUUAUUUU